AGUGAACGCUGGCGGUAGGCCUAACACAUGCAAGUCGAACGGCAGCACAGUAAGAGCUUGCUCUUACGGGUGGCGAGUGGCGGACGGGUGAGGAAUACAUCGGAAUCUACUUUUUCGUGGGGGAUAACGUAGGGAAACUUACGCUAAUACCGCAUACGACCUACGGGUGAAAGCAGGGGAUCUUCGGACCUUGCGCGAUUGAAUGAGCCGAUGUCGGAUUAGCUAGUUGGCGGGGUAAAGGCCCACCAAGGCGACGAUCCGUAGCUGGUCUGAGAGGAUGAUCAGCCACCCGGGAACUGAGACACGGUCCAGACUACUACGGGACGGAGCAGUGGGGAAUAUUGGGCAAUGGGCGCGAGCCUGGUCCAGCCAUACCGCGUGGGUGAAGAAGGCCUUCGGGUUGUAAAGCCCUUUUGUUGGGAAAGAAAAGCAGCAGGUUAAUACCCCGCUGUUCUGACGGUACCCAAAGAAUAAGCACCGGCUAACUUCGUG
rnacentral:rRNA from 1 species